AUGGCCACCGGCGGCAACCCCAAUCCCAACGCGAACCCCGGCCAGCCACGCCCGCAGCAGCAGCCGCCGGGAAGCUCUCCGGCGACCCCGCAUAACCACAUGCGCCCCCCCACUCUCGCCGGUUCCCCGUUUCAGGGUCUUUUCCACACCCCGCCUAGCCACAAUCCUGCUUUCCAGAUUCACAUGGGCGCAGCCUCCUCCCCCCAGACCCCACUAAUGGCCGCGGCCGCGGCCUCCGCCGCCGCAUCGGCCAAGCGCCCUCCCCAGAAGCCCCCUUCGCGUCCGCCGGCACCCACCUCCAACGCCGCCGCCGCAGCGUCCAUGGCCGCCGCUUAUAAGGCUGCUAACUCCGGCAGCGUCGACCUCACCCCCGCUGCGCGCCGCAACAAGAAGCGCAAACUCCCGGAGAAGCAGCUCCCGGACCGCGUCGCCGCGCUGUUGCCAGAGUCCGCGCUCUACACGCAGCUCCUCGAGUUCGAGGCCCGCGUAGACGCAGCGCUCGCGCGCAAGAAGGUGGACAUUCAGGAGGCGCUCAAGACACCACCGUCCCUCCAGCGCACGCUCCGCAUCUACGUCUUCAACACCUUCGCCAACCAGGCGCCCCGCACCAUCCCGCCGCCCAAGAAUGGCGAUCCGCCCACCUGGUCGCUCAAGAUCAUUGGCCGUGUGCUUGAAGACGGCGCGGAGCUGGACCCAGCCAGUGUCGUGCCGAAGCACAAUCCGGUGUAUCCGAAAUUCUCCUCGUUCUUUAAGAGGGUGACUAUUGCUCUUGACUCGUCACUCUAUCCAGAGAACCCACUGAUUGUCUGGGAGAAUGCCCGGUCUGCUGCGCCGCAGGAAGGGUUUGAGGUGAAGAGGAAAGGGGAUAAGGAGUUUCUUGCCAAUAUCCGUCUGGAGAUGAAUUAUAACCCCGAGAAGUUCAAGCUGUCACAGCCACUAAUGGAGGUGCUUGGGGUUGAGGUGGACACUCGCGCAAGGGUGAUCGCAGCCCUUUGGCAGUACAUCAAGGCAAAGAAGCUACAGAAUCCAAGUGACCCUUCCUACUUUAUGUGUGACCCCCAACUGAAGAAGGUAUUUGGGGAGGAUAAAAUGAGGUUUGCUAUGCUGUCGCAGAAGAUAUCACAGCAUCUUGCUCCUCCACCGCCCAUCAACUUGGAACAUAAGAUCAAGCUAUCAGGGAAUGGAGCAAACUCGAGUGCUUGCUAUGAUGUAUUGGUAGAUGUUCCUUUCCCACUGCAGAAGGAGAUGACAGCAUUUCUUGCCAAUACUGAGAAGCACAAGGACAUUGAGGCAUGUGACGAGGUGAUAUCUGCUUCAAUCAAGAAGAUCCAUGAGCAUCGUAGGAGGAGGGCGUUUUUCCUUGGGUUCAGCCAGUCCCCAGUGGAGUUCAUUAAUGCGUUGAUAGCAUCACAGAGUAAAGAUUUGAAGCUUGUUGCUGGUGAAGCGAGUAGGAAUAUUGAAAGGGAAAGGCGUGCGGACUUCUAUAACCAGCCAUGGGUUGAGGAUGCUGUUAUAAGAUAUUUGAAUCGUAAACCGCCUGGUGGCAACGAUGGCCCUGGUGCUGGUGGUUCUUGA
rnacentral:rRNA from 1 species